rnacentral:rRNA from 1 species
AGAGUUUGAUCCUGGCUCAGGAUGAACGCUGGCGGCGUGCUUAACACAUGCAAGUCGAACGAAGCACCUGAGAAUGAUUCUUCGGAUGAAGUCUCUUGUGACUGAGUGGCGGACGGGUGAGUAACGCGUGGGUAACCUGCCUCACACAGGGGGAUAACAGUUGGAAACGACCGCUAAUACCGCAUAACCCGCUGGUGCCGCAUGGCACUGACGGAAAAGAUUUAUCGGUGUGAGAUGGACCCGCGUCUGAUUAGCCAGUUGGCAGGGUAACGGCCUACCAAAGCGACGAUCAGUAGCCGGCCUGAGAGGGUGAACGGCCACAUUGGGACUGAGACACGGCCCAGACUCCUGCGGGAGGCAGCAGUGGGGAAUAUUGCACAAUGGGGGAAACCCUGAUGCAGCGACGCCGCGUGAGUGAAGAAGUAUUUCGGUAUGUAAAGCUCUAUCAGCAGGGAAGAAAAUGACGGUACCUGAUUAAGAAGCCCCGGCUAACUACGUGCCAGCAGCCGCGGUAAUACGUAGGGGGCAAGCGUUAUCCGGAUUUACUGGGUGUAAAGGGAGCGUAGACGGCGAUGCAAGUCUGAAGUGAAAGGCGGGGGCCCAACCCCCGGACUGCUUUGGAAACUGUAUGGCUGGAGUGCAGGAGAGGUAAGUGGAAUUCCUAGUGUAGCGGUGAAAUGCGUAGAUAUUAGGAGGAACACCAGUGGCGAAGGCGGCUUACUGGACUGUAACUGACGUUGAGGCUCGAAAGCGUGGGGAGCAAACAGGAUUAGAUACCCUGGUAGUCCACGCCGUAAACG